GAAUAAUUUACACAACAGGAGAUGCAAUUAGUCUAAUUCUUGAUAGACCAUCACUAUAAACGUGUCAAAAUCAGCCUCAGUGCAAUAUAUAAACCGAAAAUAAAUCACACAGACCACAGUGAAGAUUAAUCUGUAAAACUGAAAGCAGUAUGAAGUUGUUAAUUGUAGCAUGUGCUCUAGUAGCAGUAACAUUAGUUGGUAGAUCCGAAGGAUAUCUCUGUCCACCAUGCACACAGGGGUAUAAAAGCGAGUGUUCUACAGCAACACCUGAUGAUUGUGAACAGGUUCUUGAUAAUUGUGGAUGUUGUGAAAUAUGUGCUAUUAAAGAAAACGAGAGUUGUGGUGGCUACAGUCAAAGAUGUGAAACUGGCUUAACCUGUGUAGAACCAACACCAGAAACUGAACAGGAUAUGUUUAUAGCUAUGUACAGUAAGACGGGGACUUGUCUCAGGUCCCGACAAUAAAUAAAUGUACAAAAUAACAUA